UAAAUUUGUGCCCGUUGCAGUGCUCGGGAAUGCCGAUGAAAAUUCGGCAGCGGCCCUCGCCACUGUGAACCCGCGUGCACACCGCCGCUUUUUCAAUAAGGCGUCAAUUGGCGGUGCGCGCCAUGCAGAAUUCCACCACGACCCCUCACGCAGGCACCGACGUGGGAAGGACUUGUGCCACCACCCGACCGCGACAAGGUUUCGCGGUCCACUGCGGUGGUGCGGUAUCGCGGGUAAGCCAGGAGACCGGCUGCAACGCUUAAGAAGUU
rnacentral:ncRNA from 2 species